rnacentral:lncRNA from 1 species
CCAGUCCAUACACCACUGAAAGUGUUUUAUUCUAUCAGGCUGUUGCUGAAAUUUGUAUUUCCCUAGCAACAAAGCAGUAGAUAGGUUUUUCCUUCCAAGGUAAUUAGGCAUGUACUGACACACAACCACAUUUUAUGCUAUUCUACACAGUGAAAUAACAACAACUAACAUUUAUUUAGUACUCGCUAAGAGUCAGGCACUAUUCUUUGCAAUUUACAUGUAUUAACUCUUUUUAACCUUAUUACUGUUAUUAUUCACAUUUUAUGGUUGGAUAAAGAGAGAAGUGGGGUAUGUUUCCCAAGGUUACAAAGUAGUAAACAAAGAGGUCUCUAAUUUUGUGAUUUUAUUCACAGGUUAACAUAGAUAUUUAGUUUCUACGACUUGAUUAUAAUUGUACUAAGCCAUGACGAUGUAAAACCGAAGAAAACAUUUUUUUCCAUACUUCUGGUCUAUUCACAGAUAUAAAAGCAAAUGUCUGCAGAAGAGUAUUUGGGAAUCAGUAAAGCAACUAUGGUUUCCUGAGAGACAGAUCCCAGAAAGAAACAGCUCCAGGAAACCAGGAAUCCACCAUUGAUUUUCAGCCUCAAGUCCAGGGACUGACCUACACUGAAGGUUCAGCAGGCUGGCUGGAGGACUGUCCUGAGGUCUGUGGUGACUGAAAUCAAGCUACAGUGCGUAGAGUAGCGUUGGUUUGAGAAAGGUCUGCUUCCCGGCCAGAACACUUUCCUCCUUGUUAAGUGGAGCAAGUAUUCCUCUACUUUUUCUUGGGGAAUACUCCUGCACUCAAUUUGUAGCAAAAGAGAGGGAGUAAAUUACUUCAUGUUAGUAUAACCAAUCUUCC